UUAACCUUUAUAGUGCCACGGGUCUGUCCUUGGCGGCCGUGCCACCAGGAACCGAAGCCUUUCCAGCGCCUUGCAUUGUUUUGCUUCCAUUGAGAGGACAAAGCAACUGAUUGAUAUAGUAACAAAGCCUGUUGGAGUGUCGCAAACCAUUAGUUGCAGGAGUUGUAGGUCCUUCUGGCUGUGCUACGUAGGACACUGCCUCAGCAUGGCCUGAUUAGUGGUUCCAGGUCCGCGCCCGGGAUCCAAACCAGUGAAACCCUGGGCUGCCGAAGCAGAGCGUGCGAACUUAACCACUUGGCCACAAGUGAACGACAAAGAUUUUGUAGAUACAAGUUAUUUUCCAUCAAGCUUAUGAAUAACACCACUUGGCAGAAGACCCUGAACAAAGAACCAGACUGCGAUGUUUUGUAGUGACUUUACAUACAGUGUGCCUUAAUUACUGGCAAGCCUGUCAAGAGCUUAUUCCCACAUGUGUCAACACUUUCUUAAUACACCAUAAUUCAUCAUGUUAGCAUGGCAGAAACAAGGUACUCUCCGUCCUUACACUCAUCCUUCUCCAAGUGCUGGUCUUGAACUGUGUAUCCCACUGCAGCAUCUUCAUCUGAUGGACAAAGAACAGACUAUAGCAUUGAAACAGGAAAGUCCCUGGAGUCCGUCAAAGUCGUCCAUCACUGAGCACUUAGCCUGCACUCCGUAGCACUCUACAUCCAAGACGCACUGCUUCAUUGUCAAAAGGACGUUCGCUUAACAACGGCCGUAAAUCCUGAAAGGCAGUCGAAUUUUAGACAGAAAACUUGGCUAAGAGGGAAUCCUAUCACUUACCGCUUUUGACAAUUUUAUUCAUUGAGUUCAUUUUCAUGCUAGUUGCGUGACUAAAUUAAGGGAGGCUUUCUGAAAACUGUGCUCAGAAGACAUGGCAUGAAUAAAGAGGAUUCCGUUGACAAGACUAGUCUUCCACUUAGGCAGUAGAAGGAACUGAAGGAUGAUCUUUAUGUUUCCUGCAACAGAAGAUGGUAGAGUCAUUCACUUAUGAGGAAAAACUACAUCUGUGAUUUCCAGCUGAGCCAAACAGACAAUGGAGCCUAUUGACACAGAAGGUUCAACAGCUCAGCAGAAAGAAGACCAAAGUUUUUGACUGGGACAAUACACACAUAUACACAUACAGGAAAAGCAAGAUGGUACAGUGGACAAAGUUUCAGGGUUCCUGUUGAGCUGGGGUUCCAACUCUGAAAAGCUGAACUAGUCAUUUAACCUCAUCAAGUCCGUCUCCUCGUCUGUAAAAUGAGAGUAAUAGUAGUAUCCUUUUAUGAUCCGUAGGAUUGAAAUAUUCUUAUAAUAAAUGUCAAAAUGCUUUCCCAAUUAUAAAGUGCUAAAAGAUAAAGAUACUAUUAUUAUUAUAAUACCGUCACUGCCAUAUAUGAAUUUAUCUAAGACAAUAAAGAUUCAUUUACUGUUAAUACCAGCAUUUGCACACACACACACACACACAUAUACACACACGUGAGUAUUGUUAAAUAUACCGUAAGGUUUCCAUUUUUGGCUAAAGUAUUCAAUCUUUUUUACAAAUAUUCUUUCUCUCCUCACUUUAGAAGACAGGAGGACAAGAGGAACUUUAAAAAUAGGUAAAGGAAAGCAUAAUAACUGUCUUCUUUGUCUUAAGUUUAUCCAGCCACCCAUGCCUGAUAGUGAAUGCUCUGGGCAUGAAUACACUUUUGAGACCAUAAAGAAUUACUUUAACUUUACUUUAGCCUUUUAUCCAGGGGAAUAAGAAUAUUUAAUGUUCAGGUCUACAAUAAUCAUUUCUCUGAAAAUAACAUUUUUCUGCUUAUUCAGACUUCCUCCUCAUGCUUCUGGUGUCUUUUUGGCAUCGAACAGACAUCUGGAAACUCCAAACCUUCCAGAAUCUUGUCUUCUCCCUUGGGAAUUCAUGAUUGGACUCUUGACCUUUGACCUUCUCCAUACUGCUCUCAUGGAGAGCCCUCAUCUGAUGGUCCUGGUGCAAGAGGGGAGAGAUAUUUAUAGAAGAUCAAGUUAUUGUUCAGGCUUGUGUCUCUAUGUUUAAACACUGGAUUUCUGCCUCCAAAUUAGUAGUUUACUAUGUUUUCUUAAGUGCUGGAAAUUUAUGGAGUUAUCAUAGUUGAAUUCUUGUUCCUAAAACAAAAACAAAAGAAAAUACCACUUACUGAUUUAUUUCUAUUUUUAUGUCUUUGGAUGGCUUGUAUUGCCUUGUAGUAGCAAGCAAGAGUGUUACAAAAUUGUUUUCCCCAGAAUCUGAUUCUUUUUGGAGGGGUACUCCAUGUAUAUUCUUCAGUAAUGAUGCUGUCCUCACACCCAAGAAAUCACUAAUAGAAAGGGUGGUGUUUACGUUGUUAAGCUAUUAGCCAUUUCUUUGACUUUUUAAUAUUUUGUCUGACAAUUGAGAUAAUUAGCAAAAUGUGAAAUCUUUAUGUGUGCUGAUGAUUACCUAGGAGACUUAGAAAAUAUUUCAAAUCAUUUAAAACCAGGAAGAACUGUGGAGGCGAUGGGGUUGCUGAAGCUAAUUCACAGUAUCAUAAAAGCUCAAGUUAAAAGGCACUAUGGCCCCAUGGAGAAGAAUUCCAAAUAAUUUAUGUAGAUAUUCUACCCUCCCCCUCCUCCAAGGAGAGGGAGCAUAACACCCAUUCCUUAGGUGUGAGCUGCACAUAGUGACUUCCUUGCAAAGUGUACAGCAUGGAAAUGGAGGGUGGAAAGGGGAAGGAAGAGAAACUUUAAAGUGGAGAAACCUGACAACUACUGCCUCAGCCAAGUGAUCAAGGCCAACGUUGACUGUCAUAAAUCAUAUUGACAGUGUAUAUCCUUGAAAUGAUGUGAUGAAGAUGGCGCCUUACCUCUGUAGUCUUCCUCUUAAAAUCCCAUAGCCCCAGUCUUAUCUUGAGAAAAACCACACACAAAUUCCAAUAGUGGGGCAUCCUACAAAAUACCUGACCAGUACUCCUCGAAACUGUCGAGAUCAUCAAAAACAAGGCAUAUCUGAGAAACUGCCACAGCAAAGAGGAGCCUACAGGGACAGGACAACUAUAUGGGGGGUCCUGGACGGUAUUCUGGAACAGAAAAAGGGCAUUAGGUAAAAACUAAGGAAAUCUAAAUGGACCAUGAACUUUAGUUAUUAAUAAUGGUUAUUAAUAUUAAUAAUUGGUUCAUUAACUGUAACAAAUGUAUCAUACUAAUGUAAGAUGUUGAUGGAGGAACUGGAUGUGGGGCAUAUGGGAACUCUCUAUGUUAUCUUUCAAUUACUCUGUAAACCUAAAAUUAC
ensembl:lncRNA